rnacentral:rRNA from 1 species
AGUUCACUGACGAGUUUGAUCAUGGCUCAGAUUGAACGCUGGCGGCAUGGCUAAAACAUGCAAGUCGAACGAUCCCUUCGGGGAGAGUGGCGAAAGGGCGAGGAAUAGAAUCGAAUGUACCCCAAGGUGGGGGAUAGCCUCUGGAAACGGAGGGUAAUACCCCAUGUGCUCUACGGAGGAAAGGUUUACCGCCUUGGGAGCAGCGAUUCUCCUAUCAGGUAGUUGGUGAGGUAACGGCUCACCAAGCCGAAGACGGGUAGCGGGUGUGAGAGCAUGACCCGCCGCAUCGGGACUGAGACACUGCCCGGACUCCUACGGGAGGCUGCAGUAACGAAUCUUCCGCAAUGGGCGAAAGCCUGACGGAGCAAUGCCGCGUGUGGGAUGAAGCAUCUUCGAUGUGUAAACCACUGUCAGGGUCUAGGAAUACUGACCAGACCCAAAGGAAGGGCCGGCUAAUUCCGUG